rnacentral:rRNA from 1 species
AGUGAACGCUGGCGGUAGGCCUAACACAUGCAAGUCGAACGGCAGCACAGUAAGAGCUUGCUCUUAUGGGUGGCGAGUGGCGGACGGGAGAGGAAUACAUCGGAAUCUACUUUUUCGUGGGGGAUAACGUAGGGAAACUUACGCCAAUACCGCAUACGACCUACGGGUGAAAGCAGGGGAUCUUUGGACCUUGCGCGAUUGAAUGAGCCGGUGUCGGAUUAGCUAGUGGGCGGGGUAAAGGCCAACCAAGGCGACGAUCCGUAGCCGGUGUGAGAGGAGGGUAGGCCACACUGGAGCGGGGACGCGGUCCAGAGUCCUGCGGGAGGCACCAGUGGGGAAUAGGGGACAAUGGGCGGAAGUCUUGUCCAAUCGUCGCGAGUGGGUUGAAGCGACGUUGGGGGUGUAAAGCCGUUUUGUUGGGAAAGAAAAGCAUCAGCUUAAUACGCCGCUGUUCUGACGGUACUCAGAGAAGAAGCACCGGCUAACUUCGUG